GAGAGGGGUAAGCCCUCGGCAUACUGCUCAGUAACACGCGGAUAACCUGCCCUUGGGUCUGGGAUAACCCCGGGAAACUGGGACUAAUACCGGAUAGAUCAGAGAAACUGGAAUGUUCUCCGGUUCAAAACUCCGGUGCCCAAGGAUGGGUCUGCGGCCUAUCAGGUAGUAGUGGGUGUAACGUACCUACUAGCCAGCGACGGGUAAGGGUUGUGAGAGCAAGAUCCCUGAGAUGGAUUCUGAGACAUGAAUCCAGGCCCUACGGGGUGCAGCAGGCGCGAAAACUUUACACUGCGGGAAACCGCGAUAAGGGGACCCCGAGUGCCAGCACCUAGUGCUGGCUGUCCUACUGUCUAAAUAACAGUGGUUAGCAAGGGCCGGGCAAGACCGGCGCCAGCCGCCGCGGUAACACCGGCGGCCCGAGUGGUAACCGUUUUUAUUGGGUUUAAAGGGUCCGUAGCCGGCUUAUUAAGUCUCUUGGGAAAUCUGGCGGCUCAAUCGUCAGGCGUCCGAGAGAUACUGGUAGGCUUGGGACCGGGAGAGGUGGGAGGUACUCCAGGGGUAGGGGUGAAAUCUCGUAAUCCUUGGGGGACCACCGAUGGCGAAGGCAUCCCGCCAGAACGGGUCCGACGGUGAGGUACGAAAGCUGGGGGCACGAACCGGAUUAGAUACCCGGGUAGUCCCAGCUGUAAACGAUGCUCGCUAGGUGUCAGGUGCGGUGCGACCGCAUCUGGUGCCGCAGUGAAAACUUGAAGCGAGUCACCUGGGAAGUACGGUCGCAAGGCUGAAACUUAAAGGAAUUGGCGGGGGAGCACUACAACGGGUGGAGCCUGCGGUUCAAUUGGAUUCAACGCCGGGAUCUUUCUA
rnacentral:rRNA from 1 species